AGCCCUUGACAUCCCGGUCGCGGAUACCAGAGAUGGUUUCCUUCAGUUCGGCUGGACCGGUGACAGGUGCUGCAUGGCUGUCGUCAGCUCGUGUCGUGAGAUGUUGGGUUAAGUCCCGCAACGAGCGCAACCCUCAUCCUUAGUUGCCAUCAUUAAGUUGGGCACUCUAGGGAAACUGCCGGUGACAAGCCGGAGGAAGGUGGGGAUGACGUCAGUGCUUGCCU
rnacentral:misc_RNA from 1 species